rnacentral:rRNA from 1 species
AACGAACGCUGGCGGCAGGCUUAACACAUGCAAGUCGAACGAGAUCUUCGGAUCUAGUGGCAGACGGGUGAGGAACACGUGGGAACAUCCCUUUCAGUUCGGAAUAACGUUGGGAAACUAACGCUAAUACCGGAUACGUCCUUCGGGAGAAAGAUUUAUCGCUGAAAGAUUGGCCCGCGUCUGAUUAGCUAGUUGGUGAGGUAAUGGCUCACCAAGGCUACGAUCAGUAGCUGAUCUGAGGGGAUGAUCAGCCACAUUGGGACUGAGACACGGCCCAAACUCCUACGGGAGGCAGCAGUGGGGAAUAUUGGACAAUGGGCGCAAGCCUGAUCCAGCCAUGCCGCGUGAGUGUUGAAGGCCUUCGGGUUGUAAAGCUCUUUUAUCCGGGAAGAUAAUGACUGUACCGGAAGAAUAAGCCCCGGCAAACUUCGUGCCAGCCGCCGCCGUAA